rnacentral:rRNA from 1 species
ACAGUGUCUGGUGGGUAGUUUGACUGGGGCGGUCUCCUCCUAAAGAGUAACGGAGGAGCACGAAGGUUGGCUAAUCCUGGUCGGACAUCAGGAGGUUAGUGCAAUGGCAUAAGCCAGCUUGACUGCGAGCGUGACGGCGCGAGCAGGUGCGAAAGCAGGUCAUAGUGAUCCGGUGGUUCUGAAUGGAAGGGCCAUCGCUCAACGGAUAAAAGGUACUCCGGGGAUAACAGGCUGAUACCGCCCAAGAGUUCAUAUCGACGGCGGUGUUUGGCACCUCGAUGUCGGCUCAUCACAUCCUGGGGCUGAAGUAGGUCCCAAGGGUAUGGCUGUUCGCCAUUUAAAGUGGUACGCGAGCUGGGUUUAGAACGUCGUGAGACAGUUCGGUCCCUAUCUGCCGUGGGCGCUGGAGAAUUGAGGGGGGCUGCUCCUAGUACGAGAGGACCGGAGUGGACGCAUCACUGGUGUUCGGGUUGUCAUGCCAAUGGCACUGCCCGGUAGCUAAAUGCGGAAGAGAUAAGUGCUGAAAGCAUCUAAGCACGAAACUUGCCCCGAGAUGAGUUCUCCCUGACUCCUUGAGAGUCCUGAAGGAAC